rnacentral:rRNA from 1 species
AUUGAACGCUGGCGGCAGGCCUAACACAUGCAAGUCGAGCGAGCGGCGGACGGGUGAGUAAUGUAUGGGGACUGCCCGAUAGAGGGGGAUAACUACUGGAAACGGUGGCUAAUACCGCAUACUAUCGGAUAACCCAUAUGGGAUUAGCUAGUAGGUGGGGUAAAGGCUCACCUAGGCGACGAUCUCUAGCUGGUCUGAGAGGAUGAUCAGCCACACUGGGAACUAGAAACGGCCCAGAAUCCUACGGAGGCAGCAGUGGGGAAUAUUGCACCAAGGGCGCAAGCCUGAGGGAUCCAUGCCGGGUGGAUGAAGAAGGCCUUAGGGUUGUAAAGUACUUUCAACGGGGAGGCGUUAACCGGAGAAGAAGCACCGGCUAACUCCGUGCCAGCAGCCGCGGUAAUAC